GACGAACGCUGGCGGCGUGCUUAACACAUGCAAGUCGAACGGAUUGGCUAACGGGUGAGUAACACGUGGGUGCCCUUCCCUGCACUUCGGGAUAAGCCUGGGAAACUGGGUCUAAUACCGGAUAGUGUGGGAUGGGCCCGCGGCCGAUCAGAUUGUUGGUGGAGUAGUGGCCUACCUAGGCGGCGACGGGUAGCCGGCCUGAGAGGGGGGACGGCCACAUUGGGACUGAGGCACGGAGCAGACUCGUACGGGGGGCAGUAGGGGGGAAUAUUGCGCAAUGGGCGGAAGCGUGAUGCAGCGACGCCGCGGUGGGGAUGACGGCCUUCGGGUUGUAAACGCCUUUCACCAUCGACGCGGUAGAUGGAGAAGAAGCACCGGCUAACUACGUGCCAGCAGCCGCGGUAAUUC
rnacentral:rRNA from 1 species